rnacentral:tRNA from 1 species
GGAGCUAUAGCUCAGUGGUAGAGCAGCACGCUUAGCAUAUGCUAGGUCCUGGGUUCAAUCCCUAGUACCUCCA